AUUGAACGCUGGCGGCAGGCCUAACACAUGCAAGUCGAGCGGAUGAAGGGAGCUUGCUCCUGGAUUCAGCGGCGGACGGGUGAGUAAUGCCUAGGAAUCUGCCUGGUAGUGGGGGAUAACGUCCGGAAACGGGCGCUAAUACCGCAUACGUCCUGAGGGAGAAAGUGGGGGAUCUUCGGACCUCACGCUAUCAGAUGAGCCUAGGUCGGAUUAGCUAGUUGGUGGGGUAAAGGCCUACCAAGGCGACGAUCCGUAACUGGCCUGAGAGGAUGUUCAGUCACUCUGGAACUGAGACACGGUCCAGACUCCUACGGGGGCCACCAGUGGGGAAUAUUGGACAAUGAGCGAAGGCCUGCUCCACCCAUGCCGCGUGUUUGAAGAAGGUCUUCGGAUUGUAAAGCACUUUAAGUUGGGAGGAAGGGCAGUAAGUUAAUACCUUGCUGUUUUGACGUUACCAACAGAAUAAGCACCGGCUAACUUCGUG
rnacentral:rRNA from 1 species